AAGGUCCCAAAGUCAUGGUUAAGUGGGAAACGAUGUGGGAAGGCCCAGACAGCCAGGAUGUUGGCUUAGAAGCAGCCAUCAUUUAAAGAAAGCGUAAUAGCUCACUGGUCGAGUCGGCCUGCGCGGAAGAUGUAACGGGGCUAAACCAUGCACCGAAGCUGCGGCAGCGACACUGUGUGUUGUUGGGUAGGGGAGCGUUCUGUAAGCCUGUGAAGGUGUGCUGUGAGGCAUGCUGGAGGUAUCAGAAGUGCGAAUGCUGACAUAAGUAACGAUAAAGCGGGUGAAAAGCCCGCUCGCCGGAAGACCAAGGGUUCCUGUCCAACGUUAAUCGGGGCAGGGUGAGUCGACCCCUAAGGCGAGGCCGAAAGGCGUAGUCGAUGGGAAA
rnacentral:rRNA from 1 species